GAUCACAGAAACACAGACCAGUGUCUCCAGUGCCCAGCUCUGUGUCCAUGAAGAGUGACCAGUCCAUGGAUCAGCCUCCCAAACUCAGCAGUGGACCGCCCCAAUCAGAUAUGAAAUCACAGAAACACAGACCAGUGUCUCCAGUGCCCAGCUGUGUGUCUAUGAAGAGUGACCAGUCCAUGGAUCAGCCUCCCAAACUCAGCAGUGGACCGCCCCAAUCAGAUAUAAAUGUUGGGAGGAUUCAUUUAACUGAGCCUGCUCCAGUCAACAGGGCUGAAUUAACAGGUACAUACAGUAUAUGGAAGUCUUCACAUAUUUAUUUCAGAACAAUUGUUCCCAAAGGACU